rnacentral:rRNA from 1 species
UUAGGAAUUUUGCACAAUGGGGGAAACCCUGAUGCAGCAACGCCGCGUGAGUGAUGAAGGCCUUCGGGUUGUAAAGCUCUUUCGAUGGGGAAGAAACAAAUGACGGUACCCAUAGAAGAAGCACCGGCGAACUCCGUGCCAGCAGCCGCGGUAAUACGGAGGGUGCAAGCGUUAUUCGGAAUUAUUGGGCGUAAAGCGCAUGUAGGUGGUCUCUUAAGUCUGGUGUGAAAUCCCCGAGCUCAAAUCGGGAAGUGCAUUGGAUACUGGGAGACUGGAGUACAGGAGAGGAAGGUGGAAUUCCAGGUGUAGAGGUGAAAUUCGUAGAUAUCUGGAGGAACAACAGAGGCGAAGGCGACCUUCUGGACUGUCACUGACACUGAGAUGCGAAAGCGUGGGGAGCAAACAGG